CCUACGGGAGGCAGCAGUGAGGAAUAUUGGUCAAUGGGCGCGAGCCUGAACCAGCCAAGUAGCGUGAAGGAUGACUGCCCUACGGGUUGUAAACUUCUUUUAUAAAGGAAUAAAGUGAGGCACGCGUGCCUUUUUGUAUGUACUUUAUGAAUAAGGAUCGGCUAACUCCGUGCCAGCAGCCGCGGUAAUACGGAGGAUCCGAGCGUUAUCCGGAUUUAUUGGGUUUAAAGGGAGCGUAGAUGGGUUGUUAAGUCAGUUGUGAAAGUCUGCGGCUCAACCGUAAGAGUGCAAUUGAUACUGGCAGCCUUGAGUACAGUUGAGGUAGGCGGAAUUCGUGGUGUAGCGGUGAAAUGCAUAGAUAUCACGAAGAACUCCGAUUGCGAAGGCAGCUUACUAAACUGCCACUGACGUUGAUGCUCGAAAGUGUGGGUAUCAAACAGGAUUAGAUACCCGGGUAGUC
rnacentral:rRNA from 1 species